AAAAAAAAAACAGCCCAGUCCCGCUCGCAACCCUCGAUCCCCUUUCCUCCCCCUCGCUGACGCGAAACCCUCGCUAGGUUUCCUCCAGGCCGCCGCCGGUCCCUUGUGCGCAGCUCCUUCCGGCGACAUGGCGGGCGGGUAGGGUCCCUCCUCCUCCGCUGCUCCUCCCGUUGGCGUGACCCGCCCCGCCCCCGCCCCGGUCUCCAGCAGCAGCAACAGGCCCGCCCGGCACUCUACUCCGGCGGACGCCGCCAAACUCCGGCUGGCGCCUCCUCUCCAAAAUUUCAUCUCCCCCUCCCGAUCUAGCAAGACGCCGUCACGCGCACCGGCACACAAGGGAGAGAUGAUGAAGCCCGGCUCCCGCAAGCGCCGCGCCUCGCCGCCUGCGCCGUCGGCCCCCGUCACGCUGCCGCCGCCGGGCUUCGUGGCGGACAGGGAGGAGGCGGCGGCCCGCGUGGAGCGGCUUCUCCAGUACCAGUUCAACAACCGCUCCCUGCUCGAGGAGGCGCUCACCCACCAGUCCUUCGCCGCCGCCUCGUACCAGAGGCUCGAGUUCGUCGGGGACGCGGCGCUUGGCCUCGCCUUCUCCAACUUCCUCUACCUCACCAACCCCACCGUCGGCCCCGGCGCGCUCUCCACGCUCCGGGCUGCCAACAUCUCCACCGAGAAGCUGGCGCGCGUCGCCGUGCGCCACGACCUCUACCCGCUGCUCCGACGCAACUGCCCUCGCCUCGAUCUGUUGGUAGGACAGUUUAUCCAGUCAGUGAAACAAGAGUUAGAGGAUGACCUUGGCACUACGCCCUAUGGUGGCAGUGUAUUUAAGGCUCCCAAGGUGCUUGCUGAUAUGGUUGAGGCCAUUGCUGCUGCUGUCUAUGUGGAUUGCAACUUUAAUCUUGAGAAGCUCUGGAAGGUAACAAGGUUCCUCUUUGAGCCCAUUGUCACGGCAGAAACAAUAGAUGAGCAACCUGUGUCUAUGUUGCAUGAACUGUGCCAGAAACAUGGGAAAGAUGUAAAAUUCAAGACUUGGCAGAAGGGUGGAACAACGGUUGUAAAUGUAUUUGUUGGUGGGGCACUUGUUGGGAUGGGGUCCUCAGAGCAGAUGGUAAUCGCUAAGCUCAAUGCCACACGGGAUGCAUUAAGCAAGCUUCUUGGUGGAGGCAAUCAGCAAGUCUUGACAACUGGAGUUGGCCAUGGAUUGGGGGUUGAGGUUGGAGAGCUUAGGGAAUGCAAGCAGAAGCUUAUUGAGCAGUGCAGCAGGAAGCAUUGGCCAAAACCCAUCUUUAAGUUAGAGAAGGAAGAUGGCCCGGCACAUGAUAGGACAUUUGUUUACUCCGUUCAGGUAGAAGCCCAAGGUGGUAUUUGGGUAACUUUAAGUGAUAAGAUGUCAAGGGUAAAGGAUGCGGAGAAUUCUUGCGCGCAGAAGAUGUUGGAACAUCUAUUGAAAUUGGAUCCAUGCACUUGAAUCCUGACGCUACAUCCUGGUGGCGACUACUAGGAAGGAGAUCCUAGAAGCCCACAUCGUGGUGGUGACUCUUAGCAUGUAGGUGGGAGAUGAGCUCAAGAGAAUAUAAGGAAACCGUGGUGAAGGGAGAGCCAAAGAGGUGAAUGAGGAUGAAGAAGGUGCACCAGGAUUUUCUGAUGCGGGUUCAUCCUUCCAUGCCGAUGAAACCAUAUAGUUUGAAAAAGCGCUACUAUGAGAUUUUCAUCGAAAAAAAGCAGUGGGACAGAAGUUAGCCUUCCUAUUUAUCUAUGCACUCCGAUGGUCGAGAUGCAGUUGUAUACUCGCCAGAUUAUUUUUAUCCAAACAGAUACUUUUUUAAAGCCAUGCAUAUCGGUGUAGAAUUCAAUGUUAGACUGAAAAUUUGUUUAUAAGCUUGAAAUAGCAUGUCCAUCUCGAUAGUAAUGACACUGGCUUCUUUUACAUAAAUAUCACGUGGAAAAUUGUAAGCAUGAGAAAUAAAUUUCCACGUACAUAAAAUAAAAUCAGAAAGUAACCAUGAAUAAAUAAGUUGAAUUAACAAACUAUACAUAUCCUAUGAUUAGGAGAUGGUAUAAUAUUUGCCCACAACCAUGGGAUUGAUAGUUAUAAAUUUUAAAUAUAUUUUUUGGAGAGCUUAGAUCAAAAGAACCUCAUCCUAACUCAUGUUUUUUUUAUAUUGUUAUAGAUUUGCUUAUCUCGUCUGUUCAAGAAAUUCUCUGGUUUGUGGUUGUUGAACUGUGCUUUUUCAACAGUUGCUUUAUAAACACUCUAGGAAAAUGUUAGAAGACGGGAUUUUCUUCUGUUAACAAACAGCAAAAUUGGCAACCCGAGUUAUCGCAGCACACUCAGGUCAUUUUCGAUUCAGUGAUUCACACAAUAACAAACGAAAUCUGGGCCUUGGUUCACGGUCAAAGAACUAUGUGUCGACUAGCUAUGUUUCUGAUAUACGGAAAUUUAGCCACAUUUUAUGACAGUAAUACUGAGCAGCUUUCCAACCAUCUAACGCCCUGCGCGUUUCUGGCCAUCCAUUUUCGCGACUUGGGCAACCUUGGCCGUUAGUCUGUUGUCUACUCCGGCUUUCACCGUACAUUCUGAUUCCUGGGCCAAAAAGUCCUAGAGGGCUGCUUUUCCAGAGGAAAAUUUGAAGCCCUAUGGUAAACUAGGCGGAGGGGGGGGGGGGGGGGGGAGUGAGCUGAUGUGGACGGUCGCUGCUAGAGAGAGGAGGCGAUGGAUUGAUCGGCCCCACAGUUUAGGGCAAUGAGAGCCUGUGCGGGAGAUGUAGGCCGACACUAUGGCUGUUUGGUUGAGCACAACUGCUCCGUUGGGAUUUGAAGAACCAAUCAUUCUUCGGUUUCUCUGCAUUCAUGGCAGGUGAUGUGCCCAUCCUUCCGCUGCCUCGGUACAGGUGAUGCUCAUACUGGUUGUGGUCAAUUUAUUUGGGCAUCUUGGAGGCUUGUACUCCCAUUUUCUUACUUCCGAAAUUCUUCAACUGAUAAUUUCCGAUGGCCUCUGACAGAAUAGUGGCGGGGGAGCAGGCUCUGGAAGCUUGUGUAUUUGGUUGGGGUUAAAAUUUUGAGCACCCGAGAGGUUGAGAAGCUGCUACUAACGUGCUAAUUAGCUCAUGCUGUGUGCUGAUUAACCUGGUGCCUUUUAGAUGUUAAGCUUUUGCUGUGACCCAAGCUUAUCUUUGAGCUUUCUCCUUUUGCACGACUUUAAAAUCUUGGUGGAGGCUACUUCUAUUGAUAAAUUAGUGGGAAUACAGGUUUAUCUGGUGUUCCAAAAAUGUCCUCAAUGCGUAAAUUUAAUUUUUGAGUGAAUGAUUGCUAUAUCGACACACAUACAUAACUUUUACUUAUGAUGACUUCCCUUCUGUCCAUGCUUACCCUUUAUACAAAUACAAUUAUGUUAACGGCUUCGGUAUCCCCAUACAUACUGUUGUCUUCUGUCCAUAAUAUUAUUUUCUCACGAUUUUAUUUCAUUGUUGAUAUGAUCCCUAGCAUUUUAUAUGGCGAUCCUCAAUGAAUUUUCUUGAGGAUAUUUUUUAACCGAGCUCAUUUUUUUCUUUCUGAUUUGAUGUCUUGUCCUUCGAUUCUUCUCCCUUCAUGAUCAGGUCUAUUUGGAAAGCCUGCUCACUGAUGUAUUGCUUGAAGGCAAAGAAAUCUUUAAGAAUGUAAUUCAUGUAUAUAUUUGCACUAACCUCUCGAACUAUGGAAUGUAAUAAUAAAUGUUUCUGAAAUUUUGCAGAAAUAGUGAUUUUUCACUGAGAUGGUAAAAACAAAAUGCACAAGUGAUAGAGCAUAAAUGAGCUUCGGGUAAACCUGUCUGGUCUGGCACGUCAAGGUCAUACUUGUACACCAGCUUCCCACCAUCGUUGUUAUCGCCAACAAUAUGAAGUGGUGCAGGGCCCACCAGAGAACGUGGAAUUGAAACGACGUCGUGAGUUCGGGUCAGAGCCGUGGCUCGAAUCGUCAUUGACGUCCUGAUCCGUGGAUCAGUUGUGAUGCUUUCCGGUAGCGACGGCAGUGGGAUAGAGUAAAUGCAGCCAUGGGUCGAUGGGAGCAGCUGUCUUCUACCUGGCGGCUCCUGUUCUUGUUCUGUCGAGAGCAGCGAGCCGGUGGAACCACCAUCUCUUUAGGGUUAGGGCCUCUCUGCUCCGGUGAACAUGGAGUUUUUUGAUGCAGCCGAUCAACAGCAGAACUCUGCUAGAGGAGGUGAACGACAGCGACAUACCCAUGGAGCCUCUGCACUAUCCUGUUAGGCCGCUGCCGGACGGGGAGGUGCCAGCGGCGACCGCCUCUAGUGCGGACGAAUCUGUGCUGCGGAGGCAGGGACCUCAAGAUCUAACCUGUAUUCGGGCGUUCUGUUCAUGCAGCAGAACUCUGCUAGAGGAGGUGAACGACAGCGACAUACCCAUGGAGCCUCUGCACUAUCCUGUUAGGCCGCUGCCGGACGGGGAGGUGCCAGCGGCGACCGCCUCUAGUGCGGACGAAUCUGUGCUGCGGAGGCAGGGACGGCAGAUAAAGCUCAAGCAUCUGAACACUACAUAGAGCAGAUUGACCGCAAGACUCCUGGGUGGAUGCCAAGGUAUGCAUUUUUGACUGCCACAUCUUUAGCUGGAAAUGAAAUUCUGCUCUGCUACCUGUUAUGAUUAGAUGACAUCUGAAUCUGGGGUUGAAAUUAGUACGUAGGUAUAUUUUCUUGUGGUAAUGAGAGUAGUUUCUCAUGCUUGAAGUGUGUCGCAUGAAAAGCUUUAUUACAAAAUUGAGUUCUGUGCAAUAAUUCUGGAAAUGUGGGAAGGUUAAUGGGAUUGUAACGUUUAUGGUAGAAUCCAGUUUGGUAAUUUUUGUCCCCUAUAUGGUAAUACAUCAUCUGUUAAUCGAUGGAUUUAUGUGAAAUUACCCAGUCAUCAAGUAUUUUGGGGUGUUUGCUGAAGUUGGAAGACUCUGUUUUCUGUAGUAAAUACUGUUAUGUUCAUUCAGGAUCAGGAUUGGUGCUGCUGCACUAGGCCGUGCCCUAAUAGAAUGCAUGUCAGCAAUGGAGAAAUCAGUCCGCGGGUUUGCUGAGGAUCCUGGUGAUCCCCGUGACUUUGAUUUUGAUUGGCGACAUCUGUUGGUUGGUUAUCUAUUUUCUCAGUGCAAUCUGGGUGCUUGCAGCGGGGCAUAGCAUACAUCUGCAUCAGAUCGGAACUGUCGUUUGCAAACUUAAAAGGUUAGAAGUUAGAACACCCAGAUUAAAUGGAUCAUCGAAUACGGCACAUCUGACGUGAAAACUAAAAAUUACCGUGCAAUUCGACUAUGACGUGACGCUCGUCCCAAUGUCAGUUGCCAUAGUUAUCAUCCUUCUGAUGCUUGUCUGAUCGAAGACGCUUAUCCGAGGAAGGACAUCAUGCUGCUUGUUGAACAUCCCAAGUCAAUGUUGUCAAGAAAGAAUAUGUGAAAAGUGAAAACAUAAAUAAAUCUAUCGUCAAUAAAAGCCACAACCCCUGACGAGAUACAUAACAUGUUAAAGAAACUGACCUGCAAGAACAAAUGACAACCAACUAAAUUAUUUUUGGGUUGUUUGCCAACAUGUCCUUAAGCCGUUGAUCUGCCUAGAAGAGGCACUCAACCACAUACUCGCACCAAUUGAAUUGUGAGAUUGUCUCUGUGUUGGCAAGUGCACCACAGUAGUCUAUGGUAGCAUAAUCAUAUUUUGUUGUUGGCACCAAAACAUGGCCCGUUACGAAAAUGACGAAUGCAAUCUGGAAACAGUCCAUUUCUUGAAACUUUAGAAUUUUGCAUAUCACUACCAUUUUUUCAUUUGAAUAUAGAAUAUACAUUUGGUGAUUCCCCGUAGAUUCUUUGGACAGUAUAAUAUAGUAUACACAUGGUGACUUGGUAGCUUAGGCAGACUGUACUUGAUGACCCCAAAUAAUCCAAAAAGAGCAACGAGAAUGUAAAAUUUAUGCACUUACAUCGACUGAAAUUUGGCAGUCCCUAAAUUUUGACUUGAAUGCAUUUGGAAGGGGAAUAUUUGUUUUCUACCAUGGACGGGACCAAAAUAAGGCAGUAACAAAAGUAAAUAAGUGCUCUGAAAAUUGGUUUUGCUCGUAUGUAACUUCUGUUUGGUCAACUAGAUCAUCCAGUGGUAUCUUUAAGUCCCAGUCCCAGGUCUCGGGUCCUAGUUCAGUAAACCAGAAAUACAGCUUGGGUUAUUUACUUACUGCCAAUUUGAUUUGUAGGGAGUCUGCCAAUUGAUUUCCAAAACCUUGAAUCUUUGAUGUAUAGAUGGUUUGGAUGGUUAUUUUGCUUUUCUAUGAAAUAUGAUACUACUAGCUGGAAUUCAAUGCUUAUGAUUUUCAUUAUAUUAUAGAAGAGGGGAGACUAAUCCAUAUACUUGCUGUGGUCAAUUAAGUCAACAGCCUUCAGUUAAUGUGUACUCUUGCGUUGAAGCCAGUCGUUUAUCUUCUCAUUUUCUUCAUCAAAAUCAAUUCUACUCUGAAACAUAUCUGGCUAUUACUGACGCCAUGGGUGAAGGAAGUAGGACAGGAAAAAACUUGGGGAUUCAGUAUAUGUUACAUUCCAGUUUAACAUAAACGCAUGGAUGGAAGGUAAUCUCCACAGGUUUGGAGUGAUGGAGUUCUUUCAGUUGUUUGUCUUUUGCUUGGUCUGAUUCAAUGGGUAGCUAAAGCUUCUUUUUUUUGCUUGGUAUGAUUGAAUGGGUAGCUAAAGCUUCAGUUAUCGCAGUUAUCGGUCUUUUUGCUGGACUAAUUAAGUAGAUAGCUACCUUGUAUGAUGAAAAUUUCAGACUUCUUGCGGUGUGUGGCCACACUUUUGUGCUGAACAAACUUAUCAUGCAUGGAUAUCGCAUCUAUCUAUGUCUCAAUAUACUGAAACGUGAGUUUAUUAAA